rnacentral:rRNA from 1 species
AGUGAACGCUGGCGGUAGGCCUAACACAUGCAAGUCGAACGGCAGCACAGUAAGAGCUUGCUCUUACGGGUGGCGAGUGGCGGACGGGUGAGGAAUACAUCGGAAUCUACUUUUUCGUGGGGGAUAACGUAGGUAAACUUACGCUAAUACCGCAUACGACCUACGGGUGAAAGCAGGGGAUCUUCGGACCUUGCGCGAUUGAAUGAGCCGAUGUCGGAUUAGCUAGUUGGCGGGGUAAAGGCCCACCAAGGCGACGAUCCGUAGCUGGUCUGAGAGGAUGAUAAGCCACACUGGAACUGAGACACGGUCCAGACUCCUACGGGAGGCAGCAGUGGGGAAUAUUGGACAAUGGGCGCAAGCCUGAUCCAGCCAUACCGCGUGGGUGAAGAAGGCCUUCGGGUUGUAAAGACCUUUUGUUGGGAAAGAAAAGCAGCAGGUUAAUACCCCGCUGUUCUGACGGUACCCAAAGAAUAAGCACCGGCUAACCUCGUG